rnacentral:rRNA from 1 species
CCUACGGGAGGCAGCAGUGGGGAAUAUUGCGCAAUGGGCGAAAGCCUGACGCAGCGACGCCGCGUGAGGGAUGAAGGUCUUCGGAUCGUAAACCUCUGUCAGCAGGGAAGAACGGUCACUGUGCUAAUCAGCAGUGAAUUGACGGUACCUGCAAAGGAAGCACCGGCUAACUCCGUGCCAGCAGCCGCGGUAAUACGGAGGGUGCGAGCGUUAAUCGGAAUUACUGGGCGUAAAGCGCUCGUAGGCGGUAUGUCAAGUCAAGGGUGAAAUCCCCGCGCUCAACGUGGGAACUGCCUUUGAAACUGGCAAACUGGGGUGUGUGAGAGGAUAGUGGAAUUCCAGGUGUAGGAGUGAAAUCCGUAGAUAUCUGGGGGAACAUCAGUGGCGAAGGCGACUAUCUGGCACAUAACUGACGCUGAGGAGCGAAAGCGUGGGUAGCAAACAGGAUUAGAUAACCGGGUAGUC